GAUGAACGCUAGCUACAGGCUUAACACAUGCAAGUCGAGGGGCAGCACGGAGAUAGCUUGCUAUCUUGGGUGGCGACCGGCGCACGGGUGAGUAACGCGUAUCCAACCUGCCCAUUACUCUGGGAUAGCCUUGCGAAAGUAAGAUUAAUACCGGAUGUUGUUAAAAACCCGCAUGAGUUUUUAACCAAAGAUUUAUUGGUAAUGGAUGGGGAUGCGUGACAUUAGGUAGUUGGUGAGGGAACGGCUCACCAAGCCUACGAUGUCUAGGGGUUCUGGGAGGAACGUCCCCCACACUGGAACUGGGACACGGUCCAGACUCCUACGGGGGGCAGCAGUGAGGAAUAUUGGUCAAUGGACGAGAGUCUGAACCAGCCAAGUAGCGUGCAGGACGACGGCCCUCUGGGUUGUAAACUGCUUUUAGUUGGGAAUAAAAAGAGGGACGUGUCCCUAAUUGUAUGUACCAUCAGAAAAAGGACCGGCUAAUUCCGUGCCAGCAGCCGCCGCAGUAA
rnacentral:rRNA from 1 species